rnacentral:lncRNA from 1 species
AUCAUAAACUCAGCUGAUCUGUUUGUCUAGCUCCUCUGUUACCUCUCUUUUGCCAUGAAUAUUUUAUUUACAAGAUUCCAUCAGCAGAAUGGAUGCUUUGUUUUCUUUUAUAGGCUAGAUCAAGCUCACAUAGAUAUCUUACAUUCUGGGAGCUAGUUAGGAACUAAAGGCAGGUGUCAAGAUUACCAAGACACUUAAACACAGGCAUUGAAUGGAACAACACUCAACUUACACGGAGAAGAGGAGACAGCAAAAUCAGCUUCAAUAGUCAUAAUGCCGCGAAUUAUAACUGAUAGAAUAACUGGAUGAAGCUUUUGGAGCCUUUGAGAGGAAGAUGAGUGAAAUAGCAGUAGAGGAAAAUGAAUGCUCUCCACUGUGAUGCUGCUACUCUGGGGAUCAAACAUUGAGAAGCACUUAUUGGCCUAUUGAAUAUUUGUAAGUGCUCUUCUUUGACACUGUUGAAAAUGUUCUCCUUAAAACAUUUCAUUAUUUGGCUCCUUUGAUAACACAUACAUCAUUUUCUUUCUACCCUGUCUGUUCCUUUUCAACUUUGUUUUAAAAUCUUACCCUUCUUUACUAGUCUUUACAUUUUUAAAGUUUCUUCCACUAGCAGAGUUUAUCUCUUUUACCUCCAUACUGUCCUUGCAAGAGUCCCCAGUUAUUCACAACCCUGCACUAGCUUCUGUUAUCAACUACAUGAAUACAUUCCAAAUUUAUAUUCCCAAUCCAGGACUCAACUCUGAUACACAAAGUUACGCAAUUUCCUAUUGCCAUAUCUACAUGCCAUGCAUGGUACCUCAAAAUGUUUAAGAAUGAAUUCAUGAUCUUCACUUUCUAAAAUGUGUUCUUUCUAUUUUUCCUGAGCUUCAAAAACAAAUGAACAAACAAACACAACUGUCACACCAGCUGUUCAUGCAGGAAUACUUUUAUUCCUUAUCUUUUCCAAAUUCAAGCUAUCGCCAAAGGCUAUUGGUUUUACCUCUUAAAUAUUUUAGAGAUUCCCACAAUUUUAUGAUCUUGACUUUUAGUCAAAGUACACCUAUAUUUUUCCCUAGAUAAUUACAACAGAGUUCUACUUGAUCUUGUUUUGCCCACUCUAACCCCUUUCAAACACUCCCUUUUAUAGAUUGUAUUUGCUUGAUUUUUUAAAAACAGAAAUAUGAACUCAACCUAACCUGUUUAAUAACUUUUAGUUCUUCAUAGAUGAAGCACUAGAACUUAAUUUUACAUUAUUAGAAUAAAACCUGUAACAUGGGCUACAGAGCCCUCCAUGGUAUGACUCCUGCAUCCUCACUAAUCAUGCCAUAAUUUUCCUUGCUGUGGCCAAGCUCACCUUACUUUAUUUUCUUAAAUAUAUAUGGUCUCCCAACCACAGAGCCCUUACAGAUUUGAUUCCUUCUUUCUAGGAAACCAUCCACCAUAAAUGUGCUUAAUCUGAACUGUGAAGUCUCAUGUGGCACAAAUGACUUCCCCAACAUUGUGGUAAGAGGGUGACUU